rnacentral:rRNA from 1 species
CAGUCGUACCUGCGGGUAAUCAGCCUUUUGGGCAUGAUUCUGUGGAGCGUGAGGAGUUAAACGCCUUCAUGCCUGCAUAUUCGUGUACUUUGGGUGUACUUUCUCGUACGGUUAGUCAACAUCGGUUUUGAAUGUCAUAAAAUGACUGGAGGAAUGUGGCUUCGAUCUCGUAUUGAAGUGUUAUAGCCUUUGGUAGAUGUGAUGUUCGAGACCGAGGAUUGCAACGGAUACCCUUCAGGGCUAGUUCGUCUGAUCUCUGAUACGUUGCCUUGAUGUU